rnacentral:rRNA from 1 species
GACGAAUGCUGGCGGCGUGCUUAACACAUGCAAGUCGAACGUGAUUUUUGUGGAAAUUCUUUCGGGAAUGGAAAUGAAAUGAAAGUGGCGAACGGGUGAGUAACACGUGAGCAACCUACCUUACACAGGGGGAUAACCGUUGGAAACGACGACUGAUACCGAAAGACACCGCAGCAUCAUACGAUAUAGGGGUCAACCAUUUUUCGCUUUAAGCAGGACUCCUGUCUGAUCAGCUAGUCGCCACGAUUUACGCCUUUCCGGGCGAUGCUGGCACGCGAUCUGACCUUUUCUAUCGGCCCAUUGGUUUCAUCGCCCCCCCCCCUCUCCCCGUUGCAUGCAGCAUCGGCGAAU